rnacentral:sRNA from 1 species
CACAGCAGCACUAGCAACAGCAGAGCAGGAGCAGCUGGUAUUCCGGUGAUUAAAUAGUUCUCAUAGCCUUUUUGCUGUACUCGGUCUGCUCCCUGGUGUAAUUCUCGUGUCCAAGAAGGAAGCUGCAUUUUAACGGUGUGCUGAACAGAGGUUUGAAUCAUUCCAGCUGGCUGCUUGUUUUGAAAAGGACAAUGUGUGUAUAAAUAAAAGGACUCUGCUGGAAGAGUUCAGACACUAAGACUGGAGCUAGAGAGUGCUCUUGGAAUAUUGUUGAGGCAGAUUGCAUGAACUGAAAGCUCCUUCUAAUUAACCUGGAGCCAAGUGAACCUGAAUACUGGAUAUCUCAUGUUCUAACACGGGAUAAAUUCAAGUUAGAAAAAGACAAAAUAUUGAAAUGCUUCUCUAGGCAUUACUAGAGACUCAAAAUUUACUGCGCACUCAGGUUGCAAAUUUUACCUUCAACCUUGGAUUUUCAGGGAAGUUUUACCACACAGGGACUGAAGAGGAAGAUGAAGGAGAUGACCUUUUACUUCGGUCUGUGGAUGAGUUCUGGUGGUUUCCUCACAUGUGGAGCCACAUGCAGCCCCACCUCUUCCACAAUGAGUCAUCUUUAGUAGAGCAGAUGAUUCUCAACAAGGGAUUUGCACUGAGAUGCGGAGAGGAGAAAUGCCGUGGACUGCCAUUUCCAAGGAGAAAUCAUAAGCCUAGACUUGACACUACAGAGAGAUGUAGCCCUAUGUUCUUGGCUACACUUACCCAAGGAACAUGGAAUACCAAUCAACAUGGGCUAUGCUGUGGCCCCACAUCACUCAGGGGUCUACCCGGUUCACAUUCAGCUGUAUGCAGCUUGGAAGAAGGUCUGGGGUAUUCAAGUCACCAGCACUGAAGAAUAUCCACAUCUGAAACCUGCCCGGUACAGAAAGGGCUUCAUUCACAAUAGCAUCAUGGUCCUCCCUCGACAGACUUGUGGGUUGUUCACUCACACUAUUUUCUACAAAGAAUAUCCAGGAGGACCCCAAGAACUGGAUAAAAGUAUCAGAGGAGGUGAACUUUUUCUCACAAUCCUUCUAAACCCAGUAUGUAUUCUAUGUAUGCAUCUUACAAUAAGAUUAGCGUUUUAAAAUGUGUUUUAUUUUCCUGUCUUUUAAACUAAAUCAUAUUUAUUUUCUUUAUUUACAGCACAUCUUACUGGUCAUGCAUUUAAAUCUACAUUAAAAUACUUUUCUUGAUAAAA